rnacentral:rRNA from 1 species
AUUACAUGGGGCAAGGUUCGGAACGAGCUUCCGUUAAUUGAUUAUGACGUACUUGUACUGAUUGAGAUUUUAACACGAAGUGAGUGGCGAACGGGUGAGUAACACGUGGGUAACCUGCCCAGAAGUAGGGGAUAACACCUGGAAACAGAUGCUAAUACCGUAUAACAGAGAAAACCGCAUGGUUUUCUUUUAAAAGAUGGCUCUGCUAUCACUUCUGGAUGGACCCGCGGCGUAUUAGCUAGUUGGUGAGGUAAAGGCUCACCAAGGCAGUGAUACGUAGCCGACCUGAGAGGGUAAUCGGCCACAUUGGGACUGAGACACGGCCCAGACUCCUACGGGAGGCAGCAGUAGGGAAUCUUCCACAAUGGACGCAAGUCUGAUGGAGCAACGCCGCGUGAGUGAAGAAGGGUUUCGGCUCGUAAAGCUCUGUUGUUAAAGAAGAACGUGGGUAAGAGUAACUGUUUACCCAGUGACGGUAUUUAACCAGAAAGCCACGGCUAACUACGUGCCAGCAGCCGCGGUAAUACGUAGGUGGCAAGCGUUAUCCGGAUUUAUUGGGCGUAAAGCGAGCGCAGGCGGUCUUUUAAGUCUAAUGUGAAAGCCUUCGGCUCAACCGAAGAAGUGCAUUGGAAACUGGGAGACUUGAGUGCAGAAGAGGACAGUGGAACUCCAUGUGUAGCGGUGAAAUGCGUAGAUAUAUGGAAGAACACCAGUGGCGAAGGCGGCUGUCUGGUCUGCAACUGACGCUGAGGCUCGAAAGCAUGGGUAGCGAACAGGAUUAGAUACCCUGGUAGUCCAUGCCGUAAACGAUGAUUACUAAGUGUUGGAGGGUUUCCGCCCUUCAGUGCUGCAGCUAACGCAUUAAGUAAUCCGCCUGGGGAGUACGACCGCAAGGUUGAAACUCAAAAGAAUUGACGGGGGCCCGCACAAGCGGUGGAGCAUGUGGUUUAAUUCGAAGCUACGCGAAGAACCUUACCAGGUCUUGACAUCUUCUGACAGUCUAAGAGAUUAGAGGUUCCCUUCGGGGACAGAAUGACAGGUGGUGCAUGGUUGUCGUCAGCUCGUGUCGUGAGAUGUUGGGUUAAGUCCCGCAACGAGCGCAACCCUUAUUACUAGUUGCCAGCAUUAAGUUGGGCACUCUAGUGAGACUGCCGGUGACAAACCGGAGGAAGGUGGGGACGACGUCAAAUCAUCAUGCCCCUUAUGACCUGGGCUACACACGUGCUACAAUGGAUGGUACAACGAGUCGCGAGACCGCGAGGUUAAGCUAAUCUCUUAAAACCAUUCUCAGUUCGGACUGUAGGCUGCAACUCGCCUACACGAAGUCGGAAUCGCUAGUAAUCGCGGAUCAGCAUGCCGCGGUGAAUACGUUCCCGGGCCUUGUACACACCGCCCGUCACACCAUGAGAAGUUUGUAACACCCAAAGCCGGUGGGGUAACCUUUUAAGGAGGUUUAACCCAG